AAAUGUUACAAACAGCAGUCAGUAAAACAGAAACUAUUUCAUAAAGAGGUGUCUCGUUCGGACGAGGGGGUACUAAAAUCGAGGGAUUCACUUUAUGAUUUGACAUGGAGUUUGAGGAGAUGGGAAGUAAAACAUCAAGAACAUAGGUUUCGUGCGGGGCAACUUGUUCACGAGUGUUUGGAUCAAAUUCUCUUUUUAUGACAUUGACAAGUACACCCCAAGGAAAUAUAAUACCCCCUAAUUUUAUUUGUAUAAGUCGGCCAGAUUGCAGAUAAGGCAAACAAUUAUCAGGAUGGGUCAUUACCUUUUGAAUUUCUUCCCCAUACUUUUCUAACUGUAAUUUUAAAUCGUGAAACUCCUUGACAGCUGUCUCA